UUCCUACGGGCGGCUGCAGUGGGGAAUUUUGGACAAUGGGGGCAACCUUGAUCCAGCAAUGCCGCGUGUGUGAAGAAGGCCUUCGGGUUGUAAAGCACUUUUGUCCGGAACGAAACGAUCCUGGUUAAUACCUGGGGUUAAUGACGGUACCGGAAGAAUAAGCACCGGCUAACUACGUGCCAGCAGCCGCGGUAAUACGUAGGGUGCGAGCGUUAAUCGGAAUUACUGGGCGUAAAGCGUGCGCAGGCGGGUGUGUAAGACAGGCGUGAAAUCCCCGGGCUUAACCUGGGAAGUGCGCUUGUGACUGCAAGGCUAGAGUGUGUCAGAGGGGGGUAGAAUUCCACGUGUAGCAGUGAAAUGCGUAGAGAUGUGGAGGAAUACCGAUGGCGAAGGCAGCCCCCUGGGAUAACACUGACGCUCAUGCACGAAAGCGUGGGGAGCAAACAGGAUUAGAUACCCUGGUAGUCC
rnacentral:rRNA from 1 species